AUGAUCCUUCGAGAUGAUAAAGGGGAUGUCAUCUUUGCAGCUUACUGCAAACUUUUCCAUUGUAAUGAAGCCCUUGAAUCUGAGUUACAAGCAAUCUGGGAAGGACUAAAGCUGGCGGUUGAACACUCUAGUUCUACGAUUUUGCUUCAGUCAGACUGUUCGGUGGCACUUAGAGCACUAUCAGAUGAUUCCCUGGAUAGAUCGGCGUAUGGCCAUUUGGUUAGAGAUAUUAAGAGUUUUUUGAAUGAUAGGGUUGUUAUUCCUGUUAAAGUUCUCCGAGAACAGAAUAGAGUUGCACAUUAUUUAGCGAACUUUGGGAGGGUCGGUGAUAGUACAACAUGUUGGCUGGGGCAACCACCUCCUUGUGUCAGUGACUUAGUCACUGAGGAUUGUAACUCUAUCAUUUUGGAAUAA
rnacentral:rRNA from 1 species